rnacentral:misc_RNA from 1 species
GUGUGGGAUUCAACAAUUCUUUUAUAUGAUUCUCAACUCUCUUCUGAACCAAAGUCGAAGGCAACCGUUCGAUCACUUCAGCUCCGAAAGAAAAUAUUAGAGCCUUCCUCGCUGUCUCUAAGUCGAUGCCACGAGCCUGGAAAUAGAAGAGUUGGGUUUCUUCCAAAUCGCUUAUAGCAGCUCCAUGCGAACACUUGACAUCGUCAGCAAUGAUUUGAAGAUUAG